CUUCCCUGGGGACCUUCUGCAGCGCCAGGUAGGGCUCCCACACCUUAUAUGACUGCAUGCAACGCUCUGUCUGAACUCUAGAGUUCUUGUAAUAGUUACCCAAGUUCAGAGAUUUCAGAGGUGAGGCAACUGAAGGAACACGAGUGAAGAAACUGACCCAGAGUCCACAGACGACCGACAGCAGAGGCAGGCCUGAAACUGACUCGUGACUCCAGCUAAAGGGCUCACCCGCCAGGCCGCCCAGCCCUCUGCCUUUCCUAUUCGUCUGCUAUUCUCGAUGGCCAAGCCUCGUUUGAGCCGCAGCCAUAAUCCUGUUAAUGUCUGCUGAUGGAUGGCAGCUAGCAGCUUCACCGACCCUUCCUCCAAACACCCCGCGGUGCUGGCAGAGGCUCUGGGCUCACCCUUGGGCCUUGAUCUAGCACUGCGCUCAGCUGCGAAGAGCCUAAUCCUCUCCUUCAUUGGAAACCACUGGGUCCUCAGUCUCACUGGGGUUCUGAGGAGUGAUGGCCAUCUCAAGACCAUGAGAAGGCAAGGUUGAAGAUGGCAGAGCUGACAGUAUGGAGAGCACAAGCACACCAUGUGCUAAUGAAUCACUGCCUGACCCUGGACUUAGCUCCUGGUUCAUGCUGCAACCAAUAACUCACUUUUGCAGCCUUACAAGGAGAGGAUGUAGCAGGGAUUUAUGGAAAGCAGCACCAGAAUCAUGAUUUCACUUGGCAUCUGCAAAGUUUUCUAUUUAGAAAAAUUAGCCAUGGAAAAGGAGUUUAAUGUUCUGAUCAGAUUACCAAUAUACAAUUCCUUUUUAAUCAACAUUGGGUUCCAUUAUUUUGAGUAAUGCUGGGGGAGUUAUUGACUCCAUACUUUAAUAAUACAACAUAAGAAAAAAGAUAAAACUAUGAAACAACGGUGUGGAGGUGUCUGUGUGCAUAUGUGGCAGGGACACUGUGUCAUAGCAUCCUUCCCUCAGG